GUGCUUGCUGAAGACUUCAGAAUUCUUUUAAAUAAAGAAUAACAUCCAAAAAGCCUGCUUCAGUUGCUUAAAAAUGUAAUCAAAUGUUCAGCAGCAUACAUGACUGAGAAGUCUAAAGAGAAGAAAAGGAGGCACAAGCCCUGAAGAACCAACACAGCUAUGGGAGAGUGAACUGCAUGCUUUCCCUUCUUCUACAUUACCGACUGAGUUGUCGAUUGCUUUCCAAUUCUGGUCAAUCAGUUUUGCCUGUGCGGAAACUGGAUAAGGCAAUUGGACAUUACAGACGGAAAGGGUGGUCUGGGCUAAACCACAAGACUAGAAGUAAGGAGAUCUGUGUUUAAUUCCUGAUUCUGUUCUGGAUUUCUUAUUUGGUCUUGGUGGGGUCCAGUUUAAGCGAGUGGAGUGGAGAGCUGUACAUGGAAGCUAGCUCCCAAAAAGUCCAGAUCAGCUACAGACCUCAAACUUUUACCCAGAGGAAUGGUAUAUUGACCAUAGAAUGCAGAUGCAGCCUGCAAACCACCUCCCAGGGACAGGUAUUGAAAUUUUGCUAUUAAAUUGACUCUUGUCAUUUGGAGAGGAGAAAAUCAAUGGUUUAGCACUGAAGAUUUGUGGGUAUACAAGAAGGAUCUUUCCACAGAAAGUCAUUCUCCCGAGGAAAAAAUUAACUAAAUUCUACUGCCUUUACUUGCAGAUUCCCAAGUUACAGAGGACCUGAUCCUAUUCCUAAUGACAUCGAUGGGAGUUUUGUCACAGCCUUCGGUGGGAGGUGAAUCAAGCCCAAAGUAACCUGAGGAGAGUUUUCAGCUCCUUCUUACUUUCUGCUCCUUGCAGGAUUGUACAUCAAGAUGGUGAUUCAUUAAAGAAGGACCUUUCAAAGAUAGUUGCUGGCUAUAUGUCUGAUGAAGCUAUUGGGUCAGUGACGUGGCUAGUGAUACAACAUCCUCUAAUAGCUCCUUGAGAGUCAGUAUCACUGUCUGUAAGAACUGCAUUAGAACCCAUGGGCCUAGAGCCAGGGAUUACAGGGUCUGAAGCAAACAGUACUUCCUCAUUGCCACCAGCUGCCCACAGAGGAGUACCACCAAGAAGUACUGAGAUGUUAAGCCCUGCAGGAAGUCUCAACAUAAGGCACAUGAGCAACAGUCCUGAUUCUGUGAUUGGCUGGCACUCUCCAUAUAAACCAGGAAGUCACUUCUGGAAGUUGUGUGAGCAAUGCAGACCUCUGGUGUGCUUCUGCCUGAGAUGCCACUCCCUGCUGCGACUCGCCUGGAUCCUGGAUACUUGACCUUGGCCCAGCCUCUGACCCUGAUCUUGGUUUACUAUCUUCAACUUAGGGCCAUUGCUGACGCUGGUGGAAGACCUUGGCCCAGCCUAACCCCUAUUCUCACCUCAGGCUCUCAAUUUGGUAAUGGACUCUGACUCUGAGGUUUUGACCUGGCCAGUCCCUGGACUGACCUUCAACUCUUCAGCCCAGACACUGAGCAUUUCACCCUGCACACAAGCCACCAAUGAUCCAGCCCUGGCUACUUGGCAAAAACAUGUUUUCUUUUUACCUAUUUUAAGAGAAGAAAUGAAUGAGAAAAUUAUUUCCUUCUUUUCUACUGAAAAAGUUAGUACUACUUUAUUUACCAAAUGUCUGUUGUCUUAAGACAUUCAUCAUGAACUAACAUCAUAAACUGGAUACCAACAAACCAAGUGCAGCACAUUUCUAAGUAACAUUAACAAAUACAUGUUUAAAGCUCCAAGUUAUAUUAUUAUUUUAAGUUUCAGAGAGGAUCUGUAUUGUGCAUAUGUGUUUUGAAUACGUUAUAGAUCUGAAGUGUAUCAUAUUCUGUAUUCAGUAUCUGAUGGUGAAAGCAUAGAUGGAAACUAUGAUGUUCUUCUUGGUGAUAUUUACGUAGGUUCUGUGACUGGCUUAAGGUUUAAAUAAAAUCUGAUCACAAAACAAAUUCCCGUAUUCCAAAACAAAACGACCACCACCGCCUCACCUAAAUUAGAAAAGAACAAGUAUGUCUUGAUAAACUUGAUCUUUAUAUGGCUAGCUCCUUUCUAGUGCAGCUAUUCCUUUAGAACCCUCAUUUUCUGGUGGUCAGAGUUUAUUAUUUAACAUAAAACUUUUUUGUGCAUUGGAAUUUUUCUUCCCUCUUCCACCCCUUGCUUUUAUUGAACCCUUUAUGAAAUUCUGUGGAUUGGAUAAAAUGCAAGCCAGAACUAACCCCUAUUUGAUUUGUUUUUUUAAAACCAAAAUUAACCAGAGACUUUGCAAAAACUCAGCUUUCUUACUCCAUCUCUAUUUUUUAGUUAUUUAAUUUAUUUCAAUAGUAUUUCUAAUCAUGUUGGUGGGAAAAUAUCGGUUUAAUUUUACUUAACCAACAAAAAAGAUAGGACAGUGUAGUGCUACCGCCAUGUGUUAGAGAGAGGCCACUCGGUUCUAUAAAUGCAGUAUAGGUCAAUUCAGCCUGGCUCAAUGGCUGAUGCACACGCACCUACGGAGAUGAGAGAAAAAAACAAAAGAAACACUGGUUCUGUAGAUCUCCCAUUGCUAGAUUCACUUUUUUAAAAACAAGGUGCCCAACUUUAGAGUGCAGGAUUCUUCUGUCUGUAACAGCACCCUAAGAAUAAUGAAAAUACACUUCCAGUAUAGGCUGGAUGGUGGGCGAAUCACCUAGUACUCAAAAUUUGUAAUAACAUUUGCCAAACACAACUUUUUAGUUCUUUCAAAAGGGUCUUUCCUAACCAUUGAAGAUAUUUCAUCACAGAAAUUGUCUGUCACCAAUAUGAAGACAGCCUAAUUUUGCCUGGAGAGUUCAUAGUCAUUUUACCCUGAUGAGAAGUGAUAGUGUAAUAGAAUCUUGCAAAAUUAACCAGCUUAGGCACAGAAUCUUCCCACUCAUCCCAUGAUAGUAAUUAAACAAUGGAAUAUUUUAAUUUAUCUUUAAAAACGUUUAAAAAAAUACGUGCUCCUUGUGAGUGAGUGAGAAGAAUUUUGCAAAGCAGCAGUAAGAUAAAUGAAGAAUGACUAAGUCAAAACAAACUUAGUGGACUUCAUAACCAAAGUGAGGAACCUCGCUGGCUCAUCUUGUACAGAUGCUGCCUUUGGAUUCAAGCCAUGGUAAUGUUCAGGAUGAGGAUGGAAGUUAAGGUAUCUGUCAGUAGUACUGUAAUAGUGUAAGAAUUUCUUGUAUUUAUGGAUUUCCUUUGGUUAUAAAUGGUCCCUUCUCAUUGUUUUCUAACAGGAGGUACAAACACCAGAUAACUGGCACCAUACGCUUUGUUCUGCUGUUGCACUGUCGUUGCUGACUUCCCAACUGGGCAGUUCAAUGAGGUGGAAGAUAUUAACUAAACUGGCAGCCAUAAUUAAGUGGGUGGAGGUGAGGACAUCUGCUCUUCAUAUCUUGAGUUUGCCAACACAUUUUAGGCAUGUCCAGCUUUCUGUUGUUGCAAAAGCCCCUACAAAUAUAUCAAGUGUAGUUCAAACAAGUUGGAACCUCCUGCUUGGUUUGGAAAAUUUUGGCAAGCUUUUUUCCUUCUGCAUCUAGCUAAUAAUUUUUCUGGUCUUCACAACAUGGGCAAAGUGUCUCCAGAUUUCAUGUGAUAUUCUAACAGAUGUUUUGUGAUUAUAUACAGUAUGUAUAACCACUUUGUCAUUGCAUUAAUUCAAUUGGCAUAAUUUUUGACACAAUUAUCCAUGGCUGUGAAACACUAGGGUCAAAGUAUGUUCAGUAUUGGUACUGUAACUCCUGCAGCAGACUGACUGCUGUAUGUCAUUUAAAAAAAAAAUCUUCAUGUGUACAUGUUUCCUGUUUGUUUAUUUUAGAAUACCUGACCAUAGUAGAACGGACAGACUUGAAUGUUGUCUAAUGUGCAGUAACUGACAUAUAAACUGUGUUUUUCAAUGACAUUUAAUUUUAAAUUGUUUUAAUCACUAUAACACAUAAUAGGUAUUAGAGAGUAAUGGAAUCAUAUGCAUGUUGAUGGUAUGUUGGUGAUUUGGAGGAACAAAAUAGAAGAAGCUAUGAGGGCUAUGUCUGCACCAAUGAAUAAGGGAAUGCAGUCAAUAUUUGUGAAUGAGGUUUACCACUGUAGCCAAGAAGGCACUUUCCCAGCUGCAUCUGGCAAGGUGAGACAAUUUUUCUUUCAGAGGCAGACAUCGCCGCUAUAAUCCAUGCCUUUGUCAUCUCAAAUCACCUUGGCCCUAUUCCAUACCUGGCCUAGCUUUUGCUACUAUAACAAGCAGCAUAGAUGAAGAAUGCUCACUCCUUCUGUCUCAGUCAUGUCCAGACCUGAGUCCAAUCCACACAAACACCAGUGUGUCUGAAUUAUCCAGCAUCUCAGCAGUACUGGUAAAACACCCCCUCUGUUUCCUUACAUAAUUACCCAAAGGUCACUUUUUGGAUCACCUCAACCUUUCUCUGCUCAGUCCUCAACUUACUUUUAUGGCUCAGUGGAAUCUGUCAAGUUACAUAUGUAUAAUUUUUGCAUAAUGGGACUGAGUCUCUCUCAUGGUUAUGAAACAGAAGUAACUUCACUGAAAUCAAUGCAACUACAUCAGUAUACGACUAGUAAGAGAGGCUUUUCUGUGAUUUUUAAUCAAACAAAUGUCCACUGGGCCUCUUGUUAGCAAUCUCCCAGCCCUAAAUCAGGAUGAAUCUGGACACCUACAGAUUCAGCGAUCAUCUUUAUCUUUCAGCCUUUGUACUUCCAUCAUAUUUAAUAUAAAAUUAUGACUAAGCAGGACUACAGAAUAGAGCUCCACCUUGUCUCUUCCAUUCCCCCUGCCACCGCUUCCCCAUUCCUUUGCAUAAUGUUUCAUCAGGUGGUGACUAGUGAUGAGUAAAACUUUGAGUCUGAUGAGGAAAAUUUUAUGGCAAACUGAAAAAAAAGUUUAACUGAGUGAUGGUUGGUUGUAGGAAAUAUGGUUGGCAAAGAGCAUCAUAAAUUGGAGUGUGAAGUAUGGUUUACUAUGUAUUGCAACAAGGAACAAAAAAAAUAAGCGGUAUUUACCAAUCACAUGAACAAAAACUUCAUGAAGUUCAUCCCUUUACUCCCAAGAACAGCAGUAGCAUUAGAAUAGGUCCACCCUGUUGAUCCAAUUUUCCAACAACAAUGCUGAAAUAUACAGUGAUAAAGAAUUUAGGCCCAGAUCUUCAAAAAAUGUAAGGAUUUGGGUCUGAGUCUUUUUCUGGAUGGCAAACAAUACAUUAACCACCAAGAAAAAGCAAUUUAUUGAUGCCCCAUAACAAAUUCCUGUGCAAUAUCCCAGAGUUAACAAUGGGCUAAUGGUUCAGCUACCCUUAAAGGCUUAUAGGAUUGGAUAAGCAAUUUCAAGGAAAUAAUCUGAAUAUACAAAAUAAAAAAGAAGGAAGUGAUGUUCUGUUAAUGCAUCUCUUUUACUAUGGCAAGGUUUGGGGGUGUUUUUAAUGGAAAAGAUAAAUGUAAAGUGCAAUAUUCUUAAGUACCUUCUUGGAUCAUUGUAUUAGACUGUACACUUAUUACCUGAGUACAGGCUAAAAAAAUUUUUAAAGCAACAAUAAAUGUUAUUUACUCUUCCUGACAUACAAAAUCUGCCUCACCUCUAUUUCCAAUAUGAACUGAAUUUUACAUUUACUAGUAAUACUAUAUGCAACCUCACUGAAAAUCUUUAUAUAAUUUCUAUCGUGUCUUUAAAAUUUGCACAAGCGUAAAUCUCAAUAAAAUCUCUUAAAUAGUUUA